AACGUAGGUACCGAGCGUUAUCCGGAUUUACUGGGCGUAAAGCGCGUUCAGGCGGCUCAGCAAGUCGGGCAUGAAAUCUCUCGGCUCAACCGGGAGGGGCUGUCCGAAACUGCUGGGCUUGAGGGCAGUAGAGGGUGGUGGAAUUCCGGGUGUAGUGGUGAAAUGCGUAGAUAUCCGGAGGAACACCAGUGGCGAAAGCGGCCACCUGGACUGUACCUGACGCUCAAACGCGAAAGCUAGGGGAGCGAACGGG
rnacentral:rRNA from 2 species